UCAAGAAUCUGAUGGGGAAUAUGCUGCAUUGAUGUUCUGCAUCCACGUCUGAAAGUUCAUGCCAAAUUUUCCGCAGAUCAAAAUUGAUCAACUUAGAUCUGUUGACAGCUUUCGCCUUUUUACAGCACCAUGGGUGCAGGAGAUGCUGCAUUCAAACUCACAACAGGUCUGAAACAGUUUAUCAUCACUGGUUCUCUCGGUGUUUAAGCUAUGGGCUCUUCCCAUAGUAUUCUAAAGGUUGUCUUCUGCACUGCUGCAGGAUUUCUGGGGCUCGCAACUGUCAUGACGGGGGUGUAUUUGACGGCUUCUAUGGUCGGAGCUUACACAAGUGCAUCUGCACCUGUGAAAAAGGUGACAAGUCUUACAAGGAAUUGCCCAGCCCUGCCCACAUAUCAGGCCUCAGCAAUCUUCUGAACACCACUGUGCUUUGCAGGAGGAGCUUCACGGAUCUGAGAUAGUACAGCAAGUUAAGGAAAGCACCUCUUGAAGGCCAAAUGCCUCGUCCUUAUGCGCCUAUUAGACAAGUUGCAAGACAUGUGGUGACAGCUGUGUAGUAGUAGCAGAUCCCACGUUGCAAAGUGUAUCCAAAAUAUAGCAGUUGGCUCUAGUCAUCAGAGCAGAACAGGAUGCCAGCGCUCGGUAGCUGCUGAAUCAGUGCAAAAGCGUUGGGGGAAGAUCUUCGCGAGAGAGAAUUGUUGCCCUACAGGUCCCUGUACCGGUAUAAAAGCAAAUUGACACGAAACUUUGACCAAUGUAUGACAACUACUUUUGAUGCUCAACAAUAAUCUUGGAUCUGCUCAACUUGCAAUUUGGAUUGCAAGCUUGAGCCAGUGUUCUUUAGGAUAUUGAGUUCCAUUAAUGAUUAUUACUCUUGCUAAAAGUGUCUUGAAGAGCAGGCGAUGCAAGUUGCAUCAGUUGUACUAGAUGAAAGAAGUCAAGUAAUUUGGAUAUUUACAGAACUUACAGCAGCCAACCCAAUAAAAGGGCCACAUACGAACAGGCAAAUUCUGCGCAAAUGCAUUGGCUCACAGGUCAAAGACACAAGUGUUCUCUGCAUUCACUAAUGGUCUAUAUAGAGACGUGAUGUCAUUUCAAUGCAUGGCGAGGCUGGGAGCAAGACACCAUGUAGUGGCCUCUUGCCGAGUGAGUAACAGGACAUACAUAUUCCACCGGAUCAUGGCUUGUAAUACACUACUGUGUGGCACCAUAGCAUUCCCUGCCAGUCUGAUCACAAAGCCCACGUAAGUGUGGUCACACCAGCACCUCCCCCAGAGCGCAACUCCCCACAUGCAAGUGAUGGGAGAGACUGGCGGACGGCAGGGCCUUGACCGAGGUGCUGAGCAGCUGGCGCUGCAAUGCAUCCGUGGCAGACAGGCCGCCAUCCCCAAGCAGCAACGAUGCCAGCUUCUGUGCCAUGCUCCCAAGCACCACCUGAACAGACAAAAUGCAAACCGUUGGUCUCCCGUGUGAUAGCACACACACCAUCUCUGUACAAACGUCCUAAGCGGCAGAGGUGGUGAGUGAAUGAUGCGCAGACCUGUUGGAAAAGUUUGCUGUCAGAAGGAGUAUCCUUGGAUAGCUUGGAGCUGGCAGCUUCCAACAGCGCAGCAAGCUCCCCUGCAAGCUGCAAGCGUGAGGGUCCUCUCCCCUCCUCUGCUUGAUCAAGAAGGUCCUGC
rnacentral:lncRNA from 1 species